CCGCUUUUAUUCUCAAAACAGGCCUCAUUCAUAAAUCUCCAAAUCUUCCAUAAUACAGCAGCCAACCCCACUGCGGUACAAAAAAUUGUCCUGGUGUUUUCAAUCUAAGCCCUCAGAACCUAAAGAAGUCAUGAUCAGUAUCAGGUACAAUUUUUCAGAUUAAAAGUGAGCUGCAAAAUGGUUCGGAUCAACUAAGUAUCCCAUCUCCGCCAUGUAACUAACAUGCUUUAUUCCUGUUCCACAUUUGCAAAGUAUCUCCCCAAAGGGUCCUUGUAAAUCGCUCUGAUUCCCAUAUGAUUUUAGUUUUAAUGUAGCUGAUUUGAACAUUAACAAAAUAGUCACCGAAAUAAGUUUGACAUAUUGAACAGAAAUAUAGUUUGUGGAUAAUAUGCUUGGGACGGAUUCGAUAAGAGAACAACAAUCAAAUAAUAUGACUUGUACCACUCGCACUUAAAACUGACUAAUAGAAAGGAAACCAGGAAUAAUUUUCCGACAAUGUGAUCAUCAGCGAUUCAACAUCAAACACAGCUA
rnacentral:rRNA from 1 species